CACUGCACAGUGGAACAAGUGGACCCAAACGGAACAGGCUUGAUUGAGGGACUGGAGGUGAGGGAGAGGCGGACGCCAGGGAAACACGGGCAAGGGGAACUGAGGAGACUGAGACAAGGGAGCCAGGGGCACUGGGGACCAGCCCAGCUGACGGAACGGAGGACGGAGGUAUAGAACCAGAACCUGAACAUCACCUUCAUCACCAAAAAGGCCCAGCAGAGGAUGUACUUCCUGCGGCAGCUGAAGA